CGACAGAAGGCCGGAUGAGCAAUGCCUAGGCCUUUUUUGUCCCUGAUAUUUCUCUCGAGCUCAUGGAGAUGCUCAGUGUAUUCCACAUCUGACUGCCUGUAAAACAGAAGAGUAAAAAAAAAGAGUAAAAGCAGCAGAAGUAACACAUGAAGAAAAGCAAAGGACACUAAUAUACACAAAGAUACCUUUACAAGGGCGGAGGGGGGGGGGAGAAAAUGAAUCUGAAGAAGAGAGAUCUCCUGAAAUGCAGCACUCAAGAUUAGCUGAAGAAAAAAAUGUUAGCAUUCUUCUAAACAUGAUGCAAACAAAUGUACUAUAGAGAGUAUGAUUAUUUAUUUGGUAACAUGAAUUUACAGUACCUUAAAUACUGUCAUUUCCCUUGAUUUAUACAGUAAAAUCCUUUCCAUCAUUUCUACAACAUACUGAUGAUUAAGCAAGUUGCUUUUCUUCUUCUGGUGAAUCCAAUAUGGCUCUUCCACUAACGCUGUGUUAAGAAUAAGCACUGUUAUGCCGUGGUGACAGGGGGGCGUGAAGGUAUCCAACCGCUGCCACCACUGUUAUGGCGUGAAGGGGGCGUGGAGGUACUUCCACCGCUUCCGCCCUGUACCUCUCUCUAGCUGUCGCUACUCUUAUCUCCUGCCGUGAUGACGGAGGGUGAGGGAAUAUCUCUCUCCGUCACCCUGUUAGUAUGCUGCCACCAUCUUGGUAAUUCAAGAAAUCUCAUACUUAUCUUAGCUUGCAUUACUGUCUGGGUUAAACCGUAAUUCGCCGAAGCUUUGGGAAGUCCUGGAGUCGGAGGAAGAGGAUAACACUCGUGGAUAUGUGUGGUUGAAUGAAACUCGUACACAUUCCUAGCCUAUUCUAUUUACCCACGUCGUUAUAUACACUAUAUACACACUGUGCCGACGUUUGUCGGUUCGUCUUACAUUGGGAAUAAACCUGCAGCGUCUCAUCAAGUCUACCUCCUGUCACCCUGCUGUCGGUAUUCUAUGCUUGGAAUCACUGAAUGAACCUAGCCCAUCUGAUUAGCCUAUCUCUCCCGGGUUACACUUUACACUGUGACACUUUACACUUAAUGAUCCUGGCUAUAUGAGAUGGUUUCACUUACUUGAGCUGAAGAUGAGGAGGCUCGCCAUCACGAUCCAGCGUCCACUCAUGGCCACAAUUGUAAUACUAAUGUAAUAAUGACAUUAAUAAGAAUAGCGUAAUAGAUCCGAAUAGAAUCGAAUCGGAUCGAAUAGGCAAAAAGCCCAAAGCACAGCUAAAAAGCUAAAAAGCCAAAAAGAAGCUCCUAAAAUGGUUCGUCUCGGGUUUUUAUAACCUCUGCUCGCUGACUCGUCGUCUUCCGUGUAUAGGGGUCCUCCUACCCCGACGUGAUUUUGGGUCGGUGUAGCUUGAUUAUUGGUUGUCAAUCAAGAAGGGGUUGACUCUUUUGGUAGGCCGCCUCCUCCUACUCAGCAUUUUCCGUUUGCCAUAGUGCUUAUGGCCCAUUUCAUAUAGCCCUUCCGCACUGUCAGCGGUUUACGCUGCCGCGUUAAUAUUCUGAUUAGUCAGGAAUUUCUUGUACUUCCUUGUAGACCCAAGCUCUCCGGUUCAUGUCCUUAUUACUGUUCAGUUUUAGUUUUUGUUUUUUUCAAUCUUACCGUCUAAUUGUAGUGAUUCCAAAUUUACCCC